UUAGAGUUCGAUUUUGGCUCAGGAUGAACGCUAGCGGCAGGCUUAACACAUGCAAGUCGAGGGGCAGCAUGUCCAGCAAUGGAUGAUGGCGACCGGCGGAAGGGUGCGUAACGCGUGAGCAACAUGCCCUAUACAGGGAGAUACACCAGGGAAACUUGGUCUAAUAUCCCAUAGCAUUCAUUGAAGGCAUCUUUAAUGAAUUAAAGCUUCGGUGGUAUAGGAUUGGCUCGCGUGACAUUAGCCAGAUGGUGAGGUAACGGCUCACCAUAGCAAUGAUGUCUAGGGGUUUUGAGAGGAAGGCCCCCCACACUGGGACUGAGACACGGCCCAGACUCCUACGGGAGGCAGCAGUGAGGAAUAUUGGACAAUGGAUGGAAAUCUGAUCCAGCCAUGCCGCGUGCAGGAAGACGGCCUUAUGGGUUGUAAACUGCUUUUAUACGGGAGCAAUAAGGGUUACGAGUAAUCCGAUGAGAGUACUGUAUGAAUAAGGAUCGGCUAACUCCGUGCCAGCAGCCGCGGUAAUACGGAGGAUCCGAGCGUUAUCCGGAAUUAUUGGGUUUAAAGGGUGCGUAGGCGGCCAUUUAAGUCAGCGGUGAAAUUUUGCAGCUUAACUGUAACAGUGCCGUUGAUACUGUUUGGCUAGGAUUUGGUUGUAGUGUGCGGAAUGUGUGGUGUAGCGGUGAAAUGCUUAGAUAUCACACAGAACACCGAUUGCGAAGGCAGCACACUAAGUCAUUAUUGACGCUGAGGCACGAAAGUGUGGGGAUCAAACAGGAUUAGAUACCCUGGUAGUCCACACUUAAACGAUAAUAACUCGCUGUCGGCGAUACACAGUC
rnacentral:rRNA from 1 species